GGGGGUGAACGGUCUCGACGGGGGUCGCCGAAGGCAGGGUUGCGCGCCGAGGUGCGGGUGGCCUCGUAAAAACCCGCAAAGCCACAAAGGCCAACAAGCCUGCUUACCGUCUCGCGGCUUAAUGACCGCGACGCCACGCCCCCUACCCCAGGCGAAGCGCAAGGGGGCUCGCCUCUGGCCGCCCGCCCCUAGGCCAAGCCAGGGGGACACCUGAAGGUGGGGCUACGCGCGUAGAGGCCCGCCGUAGGGACCUUCGGACGGGGGUUCAACUCCCCCCACCUCCACCA
rnacentral:tmRNA from 1 species